UAGGCAAGGGAGGAUGGCAGCAACUCCUGGGAGACUCUUCCCUGAAUCUACUGCUGUUCUGCAGGACCCAGCAGAAUCCCAGUUUUGAAAUACAGAGGGGUGCAGAAUUCAUCCACCGGCCUUUGCCAUGUUGUGAACACGCACAGUCUUUCUUCUGGCAGAACUCCAAGUGGCUUGAAAGUUUGAACUGAUGGAUAUACAAAUCAGGCUAUUGCAGCACACACAUCUCAAAUGAGGGAGCCCUAUUCCGAUGGAAACAUCUGGUUUCAUUACACCAGGGCAGAAUCACCUCCUCUUUGAUUUUUGUGUUGAAAGGGGUGUUGCUGCGAAAGACUUGUGUUCGCCUGGCAGUGGUUUCAGCACGGGAGUUUGCCUGACCGGACCCGGACCGACGCGGACACGGUGGUGAGGAGAGCGCUGGCAAGGUUUACUUCAGAAGAGCCAGAAAACCUCUCCGUAGAAAUUAAGGGGCUUUGUCACCUUUACAAAUGUUUAAAAAAAUACAUGAAAGCUUUGGGUUUUUCUUCUUUUUCUGAAGCAGUGCAAAACAGUCAUGAAGGUCUGGGGUCAGUCUUUCCCCUCACACAAGAAGUGAGCGACAUUAUCGUUAACAAAAUGUUUACAAAUCCUUCUUUUUCUGAUUGAAGGGAACUGAAGACCAGUAUCUUCCCAGAGACAUCAAGUAGGAAGUAAUGUCUUUACGGUGUUGGAGAGAAAUAAUGAAAUGAUCAGGAUUAUAAAAAUCUCCUGAGAAGUUUCUUUGUAAAACGGGCCUAUUUUAUCAAUGCAAAACAGUGCAUCAAGACAGGAUAUUUGCAAGAGUCUUACAAAAUGUCGAUGCAGGUUUUUAAUGUGACUGUGUGAAAGCUGAGGCUGGCUUUAAUUUCUGCCUGAGAAGGAGGAGAUCACAAAGUGGAGAGAGAGCUGCAUUUCUGGAAGAAUGAGCAGCAGUCAUUUUCAGAACCUACUACCAGGUGUUAUGAGAACUGUCUGGCUCUGACAUAUAUGUGAAUAUUGAGUGUAAACUCAGCUUACUUUGGAAGGUUGAGGACAGAAGACAAAUCCAUUUUUUUACGAGCACCUCAAACAGCUGCUUGGGCUUUACUUCUACAAAGACAUUACCAGCAACCUGAGCAAUUGCAAGAAUAGUGAUUCUAAGAGUCUCAGAAAGGGUCUUUAUCUGCUUGUUUUCACAUCACGCAAGAUUAGGCAAAGAGCAAACAGUUAGCAAAAUGUUUGCAGGAAACUGAAAUAAAAAUAAUAAUAAAAACUUCCCUCCUUUAGCUUGGUUUUCCAGGCAAGUAGGAGAAUACAAUGAAGAAUUUUUUUUGCUGGCUCAAAAAUCAGGAUUGGAAACAAGAAGUUAGCUAAUAUUCAUGGAACAAAUAUGAGUGUUUCUUUCAAAACUUAAAAAAUAAUUUAGGUGUGAUACACCUGAAAAUAAACUGGUUUUGGGAACUAGGGUGUUUGUGGUAUAUCAAAUAAAAUAUCUCUCUUGGAUUUUUUUUUUUUCCUGUGGUCACAUUGUUAAAAAGCUUUUAAAUUUAUGUUGUUGUUUUGGCAAAAAAUAUGAAAUUGAUGAAAAAUUAUGGCUGACAGUGCAAGUUGGAAUGAAUAACUACAGAUAUAUGUUGAUUUUAGCCGUUGAUUUUGAAUAGCAAUAAAUCUUGAAUUCUACCA